rnacentral:lncRNA from 1 species
AGUUUUUGUAGCCUGGAGGGGAAGGAGAAGAGGAGAAGAAAGUCACCCAUAGAUUGUGUGCCUGUGGAAAAGAGAUCUUUGUGCCCAAUCCCGGUUUCCUAGCUGACAGAGCAGUACAAGAAACUGAGAAGAUGGUAUGUCAUUGGUGCUGUCCAGCAACAAGUAAAAGCAAUGGAGAUCUACUACUUCUUGAGGUUUGAUGUCCAAACUGGGUGCAGUCAUACAAGCAUCUCAUCAGGUGAAUAACUAAUUCCC